GACGAACGCUGGCGGCGUGCUUAACACAUGCAAGUCGAACGGUAAGGCCCUUUCGGGGGUACACGAGUGGCGAACGGGUGAGUAACACGUUGGUGAUCUGCCCUGCACUUUGGGAUAAGCCUGGGAAACUGGGUCUAAUACCGGAUAGGACUACGCGAUGCAUGUCGUGUGGUGGAAAGCUUUUGCGGUGUGGGAUGGGCCCGCGGCCUAUCAGCUUGUUGGUGGGGUGAUGGCCUACCAAGGCGACGACGGGUAGCCGGCCUGAGAGGGUGUCCGGCCACACUGGGACUGAGAUACGGCCCAGACUCCUACGGGAGGCAGCAGUGGGGAAUAUUGCACAAUGGGCGCAAGCCUGAUGCAGCGACGCCGCGUGGGGGAUGACGGCCUUCGGGUUGUAAACCCCUUUCAGCACAGACGAAGCGUAAGUGACGGUAUGUGCAGAAGAAGCACCGGCCAACUACGUG
rnacentral:rRNA from 1 species